rnacentral:tRNA from 1 species
GUUUAAGUAGUUUAUUAAAAAUUUAAGUUUGUGGGGCUUAAGAUGGGUUUACCUUUAGACA